CCAGACUCCUACGGGAGGCAGCAGUGAGGAAUCUUCCACAAUGGGCGAAAGCCUGAUGGAGCAACGCCGCGUGAAGGAUGAAGGCCUUCGGGUUGUAAACUUCUUUUAUGAGUGAAGAAUAUGACGGUAACUCAUGAAUAAGCACCGGCUAACUACGUGCCAGCAGCCGCGGUCAUACGUAGGGUGCAAGCAUUAUCCGGAGUGACUGGGCGUAAAGAGUUGCGUAGGCGGUUUAAUAAGUGAAUAGUGAAACCUGGUGGCUCAACCAUACAGACUAUUAUUCAAACUGUUAAACUCGAGAGUGGUAGAGGUAACUGGAAUUUCUAGUGUAGGAGUGAAAUCCGUAGAUAUUAGAAGGAACACCAAUGGCGUAGGCAGGUUACUGGACCAUUUCUGACGCUAAGGCACGAAAGCGUGGGGAGCGAACUGGAUUAGAUACCCAGGUAGUCCACGCCGUAAACGAUGGAUACUAGCUGUUGGAGGUAUCGACCCCUUCAGUAGCGAAGCUAACGCGUUAAGUAUCCCGCCUGUGGAGUACGGCCGCAAGGCUAAAACAUAAAGGAAUUGACGGGGGCCCGCACAAG
rnacentral:rRNA from 1 species